rnacentral:lncRNA from 1 species
GUAUUUUAGAAAGAUUUCUGAAAGCAUCACUUCUAGAAGUGCCUCCCCUAUGGAUGGAUUGUGCAGCCGUGUACUCUCAAAUUGGAGUGGAAACUCUAAAAAAAGACCAGGGGUGAGCUGACAUGAGAGGGAAAUUACCAUUCAGGUGGGAAGGGGCUGUGAUGGUGAAGGCAAAAGUGGGCAAGGAAUUGAGAAGAGAAGGAUCUGUGGAGGUGGAAGAAAAGAUGAAACCAGACUCUAGGAUCACUCAACUCCUAUGCCUGAAUCUCCAAGCAACCCUACCUGUGCCCACAGGCAUUACCAGGCCUGACACCAGGCCACCAUUUGAAAAGCCUCAGUUUCUGAAAUAAAUGCAUCUCACAGCCUUGCUAUUUCAAGCCAGCCCAGCACUUCAGACAUCACUGCUCCUUGUGUUUCUGCAGCCUGAAACAGUUCUUAGUUCUGUUCCCAUCAUUUGAGAUCAUUCAGGCUUUGGUGUAGCAGCCUUCCAGGCUGAACAGGGAACUCCUUUUGGAUCUAGAGCAGAAAAAGAAAACGUGAUCCCCGGAAGCAACGUCUGUCUUCAUUGGGAGAAUACAGAGGUGCAGUUUGCAUCUGCAGGUAGAUAAAGAGGAGAAAAAGGCCAACUUGAGUUGACACUGGUCAGUGUGGUGUCAGACAAUAAACAGGCUUCUACAAUUAUAAUAACA